CACGUAGGGGGCGAGCGUUGUCCGGAUUCAUUGGGCGUAAAGGGCGCGCAGGCGGCUCGGAAAGUCGGGUGUGAAAACUCGGGGCUCAACCCCGGGCGUGCAUCCGAUACUGGCGGUCUCGAGGGAGGUAGGGGCAUGCGGAACUGUGGGUGGAGCGGUGAAAUGCGUUGAUAUCCACAGGAACUCCGGUGGCGAAAGCGGCGUGCUGGACCUCUUCUGACGCUGAGGCGCGAAAGCUAGGGGAGCAAACGGG
rnacentral:rRNA from 1 species